rnacentral:rRNA from 1 species
GAUGAACGCUAGCUACAGGCUUAACACAUGCAAGUCGCGGGGCAGCAUGGGGGUUGCUUGCAAUCCCCGAUGGCGACCGGCGCACGGGUGAGUAACGCGUAUCCAACCUGCCCUUCACCACGGGAUAACCCGGCGAAAGUCGGACUAAUACCGUAUGUUGUCCAUUGACGGCAUCCGAUUUGGACGAGAGGUUUGGCGGUGGAGGAUGGGGAUGCGUCCGAUUAGCUGGACGGCGGGGUGACGGCCCACCGUGGCGACGAUCGGUAGGGGUUCUGAGAGGAAGGUCCCCCACACUGGAACUGAGACACGGUCCAGACUCCUACGGGAGGCAGCAGUGAGGAAGAUUGGUCAAUGGGCGUAAGCCUGAACCAGCCAAGUAGCGUGCAGGAUGACGGCCCUAUGAGUGGUAAACUGCUUUUAUGCGGGGAUAAAGUGGCCCACGUGUGGGUUUUUGCAGGUACCGCAUGAAUAAGGACCGGCUAAUUCCGUG